GAUUUUUUCAAAGAUGCUGAACCCCUGAAACUCCUCCUCUUGGUAUGAUUUGGAUGGAAAUUUUGGGUGCUGAAAACUUUGGAAAAGCUGGAUACUUUUAAGGGUGCCAACUUAACAGUCCUGAAGGAGGAGGAACUCGGCUUAUCCACAGAACUGGUACCUGAUGGCUUGCAACCCGGACAUCAGAUGAGGAUAUCAAGAGUAAUCUGGACAUAGCAGCUUUCUUCCAAGGAUCUCUAAACUCUCUAAGGAGAUGGUAAGCAUUAUUGUGACUGUUCUGCGUGUGGGGAGACAAGGUGGGAGGAGGUGAAGGGAUUUUA
ensembl:lncRNA